GUGAGGUGAGGGAUGGCUUCUUGUCCAUUUAUACGUGCCAAGUCUUCCUUUAUCUGGACAAAAGAUGAGCUUGUAAACCGACACCCAUGUCUCCGGAGCAUGGGGCUGCCGGCCUGGGUUGUCCCAGCCCCAUGAGAUAAAUGGUAGGUCACGAUCACGGACAAACAUAGAAGGCAUUGGAUAUCCUGAAACGUGUUUUAUCUCUGACACUAGAUUGGGAGGGACUGUGCUGGCUCGCUCCGUGCCGAUGUUUUUGUCUGAGAACAGACAACUCCCGCCUCCCUUGCCCCCAACUCAGGGAAACCACUGCAGGGGGCUGUCUUCCUUGUCAAAAAGCCCAGUGACGGGGCUGGGAUCUCUGCACCAGCCCCAGAAUCGUGGACCAGAGACAACCGAGAGGGGACGCUUGUGUUCAUCCCUCCUUAGACCAGGGGGCGUGCUCUGCUCUGUUUGGUCUUCUAAAACAGCAAAAUAGAAACCUCACCAGCAGAGGCUGGGAAAACCAGUAUGGGCAAAGAGCAGAUGAUUACCUACUGUUACCCGCAGCGGAAAAUAAGAGGGACUUUGUAGGGAGGACCUUCUGACCCGUGUGUGUGACUUCGUGGUAGGAAUCUUUUCUUCAUCGUCUGCUGAAAUGAACCAGCUAAGCCAGGGCCCGGCACGUGGUACAAAGUUCACAGAUGUGAUUAGAAUCUCGGGUGAAACUUGAGCCUUUCAGUUCAGACCUGAAGACCUGUGACUCAAGCUGUCAAAGCUGCCUGUGAGGCCUGGAGUUCCUCUGAGCCAGCGUCGGCCACUCCUCCUGCCUCUUACCCUGGCCCCAGACGCCUGCCUCUGCCUGAGCUCACAGGCGAUGACUUCAGUGAUGUCACACCGGAGGCCCUGGCCGGCCUGCAAUACCGGGGGCUUCGGGCUCCGGCUUUCUGGCUCUAUCCUCCCCCUUCUCCAGCAUGACUCAGGCGGGGACAGGAUCUGGAAUGUGAAGGAAGAGCCAGCUUUCGGCCACCCCAUCUCUGAUACCAGACAAGAAACUGAAGCUGCAGGUAUCAACGAAGCCUCCUUCAACCAAGGACCCCGCCACUGACGUACUGAUUACUUGUCAAAAAAUUUAAAACAUUCAUCUUCAUGCUAUGUUGGCAAUU